AAUACAUGGUAAGGGAACCUUCUCAAAAGAUCCUUGUAUCUCUCCCAUGCAUCAUAGAGUGUUUCGAGAUCCAUUUGCACAAAAGAAGAGAUGUCAUUCCUCAACUU
rnacentral:snoRNA from 1 species